rnacentral:rRNA from 1 species
AAACGACUCUCGGCAACGGAUAUCUCGGCUCUCGCAUCGAUGAAGAACGUAGCGAAAUGCGAUACUUGGUGUGAAUUGCAGAAUCCCGUGAACCAUCGAGUCUUUGAACGCAAGUUGCGCCCCAAGCCUUCGGGCCGAGGGCACGUCUGCCUGG